UUCCAGACUCCUACGGGAGGCAGCAGUGGGGAAUAUUGCACAAUGGGCGAAAGCCUGAUGCAGCAACGCCGCGUGAAGGAAGAAGGCUUUCGGGUUGUAAACUUCUUUGACAGGGGAAGAGCAGAAGACGGUACCCUGAAAACAAGCCACGGCUAACUACGUGCCAGCAGCCGCGGUAAUACGUAGGUGGCAAGCGUUGUCCGGAUUUACUGGGUGUAAAGGGCGUGUAGCCGGGAAGGCAAGUCAGAUGUGAAAUCCGGAGGCUCAACCUCCGAAUUGCAUUUGAAACUGUUUUUCUUGAGUACUGGAGAGGCAGACGGAAUUCCUUGUGUAGCGGUGAAAUGCGUAGAUAUAAGGAGGAACACCAGUGGCGAAGGCGGUCUGCUGGACAGCAACUGACGGUGAGGCGCGAAAGCGUGGGGAGCAAACAGGAUUAGAUACCCCCGUAAUA
rnacentral:rRNA from 1 species